rnacentral:rRNA from 1 species
UGCGCAGGCGGGGCAAUAAGUCAGUGGUGAAAUCCUGCGGCUUAACCGUAGAACUGCCAUUGAUACUGUUGCCCUUGAGUAUAGUUGAGGUGGGCGGAAUAUGUAAUGUAGCGGUGAAAUGCAUAGAUAUUACAUAGAACACCAAUUGCGAAGGCAGCUCACUAAGCUAUCACUGACGCUGAGGCACGAAAGCGUGGGGAGCGAACAGGAUUAGAUUCCCUGGUAGUCC